ensembl:lncRNA
CCCUCAUACACUGUUGGUGGGAAUGCAAACUAGUGCAGCCACUAUGGAAAACAGUAUGGAGAUUUCUCAAAAAGUUAAAAAUAGAAAUACCUUAUGACCCAGCCAUCCCACUACUGGGUAUCUAUCCUAAGAACCUGAAAUCAGCAAUCCCAAGAGUCCCAUGCACCCCUAUGUUCAUCGCAGCAUUAGUUACAAUAGCCAAGACGUGGAACCAACCUAAAUGCCCAGAAACUGAUGAUUGGAUAAAGAAGAUAUGGUAUAUAUACACAAUGGAAUACUACUCAGCCAUAAAAAAGGACAAAAUUGUUCCAUUCGUAUCAACAUGGACAGACCUUGAGGGUAUUAGGUUAAGCGAAAUAAGCCAGACAGAGAAAGACAAACUCUGUAUGACUCCACUCAUAGGUGGAAGUUAACAUAUAGACAGGGAGAACCGAUCAGUGGUUACCAGGGAAAAGGGGGUUUGGGGGGAGGGCACAAAGGGUGAAGUGGUGUACCCACAACAGGACUAACAAUAAUGUACAACUGAAAUCUCACAAGGUUGUAAUCUAUCAUAAUAAAAAAGAAAGAAAGAAAGAAAGAAAGAAAUUGUGCUUAGUGUAAUAUGCUUAGUGUAACGAAAAUGUAUAAUGUAGAAAUGGAAAGUCUCUUAUAGAGUCAUGCUUUCAGAAAUGACCUCAACAAGGCUUUGAUAGAUUUUCUUCUAGUUCUGUUUUAUUGCAUAUGCACGCUGUGUUAGUUUGCUGGGGCUGCCACAACAAAGUACCACAGACUAGGUGACUUAAACAACAGAAAUUUAUUUUCUCACAAUUCUGGAGGCUAGAAUUCUGUAGGCUACAGUGCUGGUUUCUUCUGAGGCCUCUCUUGUUGACUUGUGAACGACCAUCUUCUACGUGUGUCUUCCCUCUGUGUAUGACUGCGUCCUAAUUUCCUUUUCUUAUAAAGACGCUAACCAUAUUGGACACUAAUGACCUCAUUUAACCUUAAUCACCUCUUUAAAGACCAUAUUUUCAAGUACAGUUAAAUCCUGAAGAACUGGGAUCAGGGCUCCAACAUAUGAAUUUUAGGGGGGAUAAACUCAGCCCAUAACACACACACAUAGUAGUGUUUUUCUGUACGAUUCUGCAACUUGCUUUUCUCACUGCAAGUGGUUUCAAUAUGCUUUCAGGUCAGAAGAUCUGUAUCUUCCUGAGGAGGCCACGAUAUUGAGUACUUAGCUUUUUUGUCCUACAUAUUUAUUGCAAAGGAGAAGAGGAGUGAGAAUGGCCAUUAAGCCGACAACCAACAGUACCAGUCCAAAAGCUAUGCUGGCUCUUCACUGCCUCUUUUCCGUCUUCUUUAAUUGCUUUUAUUUCUUUGCGUUUUCAUCCGAAGUUUCUGUGACUUCGUUACGCUUGCUCUUCAUAUCACACAUUACGUUGGCUACUGCAUCAAUUACACUGUUUGCUAUUUCUGUGAUAUGGAUUUGUUCUAAAAUGCUAUUUCGCCCUUGCUUUCUUUUCUUAGCUUUUCUAGCUUCCUUGUUUUAUCUCACUCAGUUGAUUUAUUAUACAUCUUUUAUCUCUUUUUUUCAUAGAGGCCACAUGCUCUUUCUUUUCUGUGAAAGGUGCAAGGCAUGUGUCAUCUGAAAGCCCCUGAUGUUUCCUGGGAUGUUUUCUCCGAGGCUUCUAUUUGACUCUCAAUAGUGAUUGUGGUGAAGAUCAAAUGAUGAAUAUACGUAAAGCGGUUGAGAAGUGCCUGGCACGCAGUAAAUUCUAUGUAAUUACAACCUAAGACAUCACCCCUGCAAAAGAUCCGAGCCCGGAUAAAGUGGUUAAGGGAUGGCCGAAGGAGAGGAGUUGCCUGGGAUACUGGGAGCAAGCUAACGUGGAGUGGCUGAGCCUACCAGAGUCUCCCCUGUCCCUCUCAUCUGGAGAAGACAGUGUUCAGGCUUUCGUCCCUCUCCACAGACACAUGGUUGGCCAAGGUGGCCAUCAGACACGAGGGAAUAUGAGCUCACAAGAAAAAAAUGAGACAUCUGAGGACUGAAAAUACUAUAAAAUAAAGAUGACAAAACUGAAGAGCCAACAUCAGAGGAAGCACAAUUAAAGAACCAGGAAAAUAAACAUCAGAUUGAGCAUCAGAGAUGUCCUUGGAAAUAAGGGGAGGAAUUAGAAAUGUGGAAGUAUGAAAAGAAUAAUAGAUGUAAUGAGGAAGAAACAAUGCCAUAUGAGAAAGAAGAAGAUCUGGCCAUUGGGUUUCAUGCGUUGAAGGGCAAGCACCCUUCAGAUGGCCUCAGUCCUCACGGCUUGUCUCUUGCUCGAAAGACCGGGGUCGGUUUUUCUUCACCGGUGCUCAUGUACGUUACCUGCUGGCCUCUGAGACACUUGAAUCUGUGUCCCUUUGAAAGAUGAUGCCCAAAGAGGAUCAGUCCUGGGAUGUACAAAGUCUCAGCAAAGAGAAGUGAAAUACGUCCACUGUGGUUUGACAUGCCUUAUGAAGAUAGGACUGACAGGCCUUGCAGAUGGACCAGAUGUGGAGGGUGAGAAGCUGAGAGAAGAUGCUGAGAUUUCUAGCCUGAGCAUAUGGAUAUAAGGAAAACUAACGGAAGGACGUUUCCAGUAGGUCACUCAUAAUUCCACUUCCUGAAAAGAUGGUAUGCUAUCCAAGAGAAAGAGAAGAAGAAACUUGGGAAGUGUGUCCCACCCCCCCCCCCCCCCCGAGAUGGAGGCCAAAGGCCAGGCGGCAAGGGACUCUUGGACCCACUGUGCUCGCAUCAUCUGUGCUGCUGUGGAUCGACCACGGUCAGGAGCAGCUUGCAGGAAAACAGAAGACUCUGGGUCCCCAGAGGCAGGGGCCCCAGGAAGGAGAUUGCACGCCACCACGGCGUGUGCCUCGAGUGGCAGUUGAGCCCAGGAGAAAAUACAUGGGAAAACUGGCUCCUGGUGUGGCUGUUUCAGCAAACACAAAGAAGAGACCCCAAAGAGUAAAGUCCCCCAAUUAGGGCUGCUGUUGGCCCAGCUGCCUGCAGGCUGCUGUACCCAUCAAGCAAUGGAUGGUAAAGGUUGCCUCUUCCUAAGGAAAUACCUUGAAAACAGGAAUAAGGCUAAUGCCAAAAAUUCCAGACAUAGUCAAGGUGGUACGGAAGCUAUUUGGGGUCGUGGGAACCUUCUAGCAGGGCCUUGCAAAUUAGACCACAAAGUGCUCCAUUCUGAACACAGGCAGUUUUGAGAAACCAGCGUAGCUGGUGUGAGUUUUACUGCAUGACACUCAGAUGUAAGAAAUGUCACUUUUCCUUGUUUCUAUAAAUAAGAUCAUUUUGCUCAGGGCCCUUACCUUCUUGCUGAGUGGACCAUUCCAUCUCAGUCACUUCAAAUUCUCUCUCUCAUCUCAACAUCUCCCUACCACACACUCACACAUAUACACAGAGAAGGCUGCAAAAAUCCUGAGAUUGCAGGGUGCAAAAAACGCUAGGAAAGCAGCGAGUCAGUCCAGGAGACGCACAUAAAUGAAAUCCAUUGAGAUGGGAGCCACCGGCUGGGGAAAACACUAUACAUCUCAGAGCAAUGAGGUGUGAACCAGAUAGAUUUCUGCAAAGGGUGCAGCAAAUGAAGUGGUAAGAAGAGAGGCAGCGAGCCAGCCCUGAUGGUCUAGUGGUUAAAGUCCACCACUCUCACCACUUCGGCGGCCCCGGGUUCAGUUCCUGGUCACAGAACCACACCACCCAUCUGUCAGUUGCCAUGCUGUGAUGGCACCUCACACAGAAGAUCCAGAAGGACUUACAACAACAAUAUACAACUAUGCACUGGGGCUUUGGGGAGAAAAAAAAAAAAAGAAGAAAGGUAGCUUUCGUGUAGGCCUCAUUGGCUGUAAUGGCUUCCCCCAGAGACAGACCGUUGAGGUGGCCCAUUAAGCUGCAGGCAUUCACUGUGGGUCACACAUAGGAGGAUGAGAGAUGCAGAGGAGAGAGUCCCCUCGGCUCGGAGGCCCUAGAGCUCUCCUCUUGCCCAGGGCUCUGGAUGCGGGCCUCCUGUAAAGUGCUCCUUCCUGCUGUGUUCUCCUCAGACUUUCCUCCUCAACCUGAUCGCUCUGGUCUUGCCUCUGAUCUCACCUUCAGACCUUGGCUUUGCAUCUUGUUUCCCUUCUCCACUCGACCCCGCAGACUUGAUGUUUAAGCUCUUCUUAGCUCUCCAAGCACCCUCAUGCAGGAUUCAAGGAUUAGUUCCCUUUCCCUCACACCGAAGCCACAGAGACUUCCUACGGAGUCCCUCUCUCUGGCUGGCUCCAGGACUCAUAGUCUAGGAUAAACGCAUAGUACUCCCUCAAAGCCGGAGUUCAACAGUUAUCCUUGUUGGCCCCGGGGUCCCCAUUCACGCCAAGCUCCAGUUCACACUUGACAUGACAACUCUAGCUUGUUGGGUCUUUCCAUGGUCUGGCCUCACCCUGCUCUUUUCCUGGUGGUUGGUUGACUCCUCAACAAUUACAAAUUCUUCUUACUCGAAUGAGGGAGAGCAGGAGCUAUUUCAGUACUGGGCCCCUCAGUCCUGGGAUCCUGUGCCCACUAUUAAGCAGAACCCUCAUGCCCCUAAGGCUAACAGCUCCCUCUAGUGGCAGCGAUGCAACUACAGCUGCGGUCACUGAUAGUAAUAGCGAAUUUUUUGGUGUUUGUUUGUAGGCACCGUUUUGUGUAGUCGACAUAUAUUAAUAAUUUAAUAGUCACAUCAAUCCAUUGAGAGAGGCGUUAUUAGUAUCACCAUGUUACAGAUAAGGAGACAGACACAGAGAGAUUAACUUGCCCAAGAACUUAACAGCUAGUUAGGAACAGAGCCAGCCUCUGAGCCCAGGAGGUCUGCUUCCAAAGUUGGCGAUUUGAUCUCUGUACUAUGACUCCCUCUCAAAACGAAAGACAGUACCCGCUCACUCCACUAAAACCCUCAAACACACCUCCACCCUUCCCACAGAAAUUCCUUCUCCAGGAGGAUGGGCUACAGGCUUGCAGAUGCGUAGUGCGGGCCCCCUUCCCCCUUAGAAGGUAAGGUGAGAGGAGUUUGGUACUUCUCCUCUGACCAGGCAGGCCACUGCUCCAAGGUGCCUUUGGACAUCUCUUCAGGUUUCUGAGCUCUGUGGUGGUCCCCUGGUGUUUCUGGGUGCUGGCUUCAUGCCUAAGGUGGCAGCUCAGAUAUUAGCCUUGCUUCUCUCUUUAUAGAGAGGCCUAGCAGCCUAGAGAAAUGGCCUUGCCAGCAUAAGAUAGUUAUUAUCUUAAGCUGCAGGUUCAGACUAGGGAUCAGACUGAUUCUCCUCUUGCUAUGUGGCUAUGGCUCCUCAGCCAGGCACAGGAAUGUAAUGACUUUCGACCAUGGACUUGGUUUUAGAAAGGACUCAGGGACAUACUCUCCAAAGAACUUGUCUGCUCCGCUUCCCCAGGCAGUUAGGCCUCCUUAUAAAGAAAGAAGCAGGGCUAAUAUCUGAGCUGCCACCUUAGGCAUUAAGCGAGCACCCAGAAACACCAGGGGAGUAUCACAGAGCUCAGAAACCUGAAGAGAUGUCCAACUUCCAGUCAAAGAUCCCUGUAUUCAUGUGAGGGGCAAUUUUAGACUCAACAUGUUUCUCUGCCCAGAUGGUCCUGCAGGCUCAGCCCCCAUCUGACACUCAGCAGAAGGAGGAAUGUCAAGGGUGUCUUAUGAGAUAUUUCCACUGACCCUCAUGUGGGGAAGCAUGUGGUCCCCGUCAUUGGAGGAUGGGACCCGUGACAGUCUCAUGAGUGUUGUUUCCACUCUUGACUUUCCUUUCACUUUUGGUGCCUGCAUUGCCUUAAGCCAUGCAAAGCCUCAUUCUUCCUAGUAUCCCCAUGGUAGGAGUUCUGGGAAAAUACAGUCAACAUCUAUGAAUCCCAAACCCAAGUAGGCAUGCAGUCAUAUUCAGAGAAGCAGAGUCCACAAGCUAAAAGAAUUUUUAAAAGGAAGCCCAGUCUUUAACUUGCAUCUCUAUUAUAUCAGGAGGGACUUAAUUUAUAAUUUCCAAAAACAUUACAUGGGACACAGCCUUUAAAAGACUGCCAAAAGAACAGUCCUUGGAAUUUAUAAACAAAUACUUCUUGAGAAUCUUCUCUUCUUUUUUCCGUUACUCCAUCUGUGACAUUAAUUGCCCAGUCCCCCCAUAGCUGUUAAUUUCAAAAUGAGACUUGCCAGAGUUUUGCCCCUCACCAAAGGAAAAGUCCAAUGUUCUUCAUAGGAAAAACAAAGCAGGGAGAGUAAAUGUUAGAGUAAAUGUUUAUUCCCGCUGAGGACUUAAAAUAUAAAAGCAUUCCACAAUGAGACAUCAGAGCUUUUCUAAUUUAGAGGUUCCCAAAUUGGAGUUCACAAAGGUAGCACAUGGAACUAUUUGAAUAAAAUCUAAGACAUCAGUAAGGUAAAAUACAGUAUUAUUUUAUGUACCACUGAGAAAGAAAAAAAAAUGCUGCCAAUGAAACCAAAUGUUCUAUUUAUUAUAAGAUGCAUUGGAUUUUAGAGAUGUUAAAAUGUGGAAAGGAAUUUAUGCCUUAGAAUCAGUGAAAUAUGGUUGUAUCAGUGUUGUUAGGGUGAAAUGGGCCACUCCUUGAAGGGUGCUUAGAGAGGUGUUUGACACACAGUAAGAGCUCAAUAAAUGUUAGCUAUGAACUUUAGUUGUUGAAAUGUUUUGGCUAUUCAUGUAUUCAGGAUUUAAUUCUAGUAGAGGCAAGAGGUUGUAUUCAGGGAGAAUAAUUCACAUUCCCAUGGCAGAAUGGAGAAGUGUAGGUUGAGUUGGUGAGUUGGGUGGUCGUGAGGAGACUGCCUGAGGGUAGACCAGAAAGACGGGCUGUGUGGAGCUAAGGUGAGCACAUUCUGUCCAUGCUUGAGGGAGGACCUAUAAGUCUGGCCACAGCCUACAGCCAGGCUAGAGAUUGGGAGCCCUUGCCUACUGGAAGCAAAGUCACAGCAGGCAAGGCUUGGGUGAGAAGGUUUAAGAACCUGUACUAUUACCUUAAAAAUGAGGCCAUGAACUAAUCACGUGCCUGCUACCAAAGGAUCCCUCAUCUAAGAGAGAAUGACUGCAUUCUUGAGGAAUGAUGGGGUGGUUGUACCACCAGAGAAGGUAAAGUAAGACUGCUCCAUGAUGCCUCUCCACUCCCCGCAAAGCUCAGUGUGGAGCCAAGGCGCCCUUGAACCCUUUGCAUCCUUCUCCAACAUUCCCUCUGGUUUCACGUGUAUUGUCAGCUAGGACUUACCGUUCAGAGUGAGGAGUUGGAACCCCCAAGGUUUUCAUGAAAGAAUGGAUGCCAUCAGUCAGAGCAAGUGGGACACAAACAGGUGACAGCAUGUUAAAUCUCUCCCAUUUUCUAUUCCUCAGAAACCCACAUUAGAGGAAGAGCCAAGGCAGCUGCCAAGAGCAGCUGUAUCGAUGUUGAGCGGACUUGUUGCAGAAAUCAGCUUUCUGCCCUAGUCCUUGAGCUUUCUGCUGGCCCAGAAAGUGGAGCCUACCCCUGGGGAAUGAAUCCCAGGUCUGCAUAUGGCGGCAGGCCUGCUCAGGGUGGGCAUGCAGGGACCAGGUUCAACUUCUGGACAGCUGCAUGUUGGGCAGGGAGCACUCAUGGCAAGAGCCAGGGCUGUUUGAGCGAAAGACUAUGGCUUCUGUUUCUACUCAGCAUUUGACUAUAAGGUUUCCCAGCCUCCAGAGCUCAGCAAGGAGACAGCCUACACUUCCUGUUCACAGGCAAUCAUGGCGGGCACAGAUUUAUCCACCACCGACUAACAUGUAAGAUAUUACAUGCAUUGUUCUGUCCCCUAUGGAAAGCCAUAGAAAAAUUAUGAAAGGAGGAUCAGCUGUGGGGAAAUCAAGAGUUUUAUGUAAAGCUCUUGGUGUCCAUAGCUGACUUGGGUUAAAUCUCUUUUAGAGUAAUAUAUGAGUAAAUUAUUCAAGCAAAUCGUUUUAAGACUGAAUAACCUGAUGCAAACUCAAUUUGGGAAAUGUCAGAGUUUACUUCCUCUACGGCACAAAUAAUUUUUUUCACAUCUUGAAUUUGGGAUUUAUGAUUUUCAACCCUAGGGUCACCUUUGAAGUGUAAAGGCGAUCAAACAAUAACUUCCUAUCUCUUGAGGCUUUUAGCUAACCCCCCAAUUUCUACACACUUUCUAGAAGAUAUUUAGCGUACAUCAAAGAGAGACUUUGAUCAAAAACAUAUUGUUUUGGCCAAGGCCAAGCACUGUUGUUCAUUUUCUUUUUGACCAGUAGAAUUGGGCAUGUGCGUGCAUGCAUACACACAAAGAUAUUCUGAUUCUGUUGAUUUCUCUGAGGAGGCUCUAACCAAAGACAGACAUCUACUAUUGUGAUUUACUAAACCUUUUUUUAAAUAAAAAGACUAACUUCCAAUCAUUUCUCUUUAAUUCUCCAUUAAGUAAAAGAUGGGGUAUCACCACCAUAGUUUGCCCAAGAAACAGCAGACGUGUCACUUUAUCCCAAAUUCUCUCUAUGCUUUAGCUUUUCCUUCUUUCUUUCCUUAGCAUUGUCUUCAGUGAGAUACUAGGUAUUCUGCAAGCUUUCAUGAGCUCCUUCUCUCCACAGUAAGAUCUCUAAGGAGACCAGUUCCAGAUUGGUUGGAAUUCUUGCUGGGAAAGAGAGCUAUGCGAGGCUUCUGUGAGGCGAAGGUCAGGACAUUGUCCUUUAGAUCACACAAAACAAUAUUGAAGAGUGGAAGUGUGCAUUACCUUUAAGGAUCAAAGGAAUACUGUCCCUAGGAUUUUUUUUAGAAACUGUAAUUAAGAAUUUUAUUGAGAUGCAAUUUACAUGCCAUAAAAUUUAAUUAUUAAAAUUUAAAUUAAUGACUUUGAUAUAUUUAUAGAGGUGUGCAACCAUCACCACCAUCUAAUUUGAGAAUACUUCCAUCACCCCAAAAAGAAACCUUGUGCUCAUUUACAGUGACUCCUCAUUCCCUUCCUCUUUUCAGCUAAUAUGAAUAAUGCCACUGUCACCUGAAUGGUGCUUAGAGGUGAAGGUAAUAUUUCCAAAAACACUUUACUGUGACACCUUUCUUUCCUCAGACUUUCAACCUUGCCUCCUCAUCUCUGUUUUUUUUGGAUGUAACUUAAAUGCUUAUGUUAUUCAUAAAGAUUUUAAAAUUUCAACAUCUCCAACACCCUUUGACUAUGUACAUGGCUUCUGAUUUUAUAGCAGUAGGCAUUUUCAAAUGGCUUGUUUUUACAAAUAAAAUAUAUUUAUCAGAUAUUAAGCAUAAAUAAAUAGCAGAAAUUUAAAAAUUAACGUGAAAGUCUUGUCUUUUAAUAGGAUAAUCUUAUGCAUUUACAUUUAUUGUCAUGACAUAAAUUUGGUCUCUCAUCUUGAAUUUUACGUUUUGCGUUUUUUCUUAUGCUUCCUUUUUUUCUUUACUUUCUCUGUUCUGCUGUUUAACUUAAGGUUUUAUGACUUAGACCUUUGAUAGUGUUUUAGAAAAUAAAUU